GACGAACGCUGGCGGCGUGCCUAAUACAUGCAAGUAGGACGCAGUUGCGAACGGGUGAGUAACGCGUAGGUAACUACCUAUUAGAGGGGGAUAACUAUUGGAAACGAUAGCUAAUACCGCAUACUAGUAGAUGGACCUGCGUUGUAUUAGCUAGUAGGUAGGGUAAUGGCCUACCUAGGCAACGAUACUUAGCCGGCCGGGAGUGGUGAUCGGCCACACUGGGACGGAGAAACGGUCCAGACUCCUACGGGAGGCCGCAGUAGGGAAUCUUCGGAAAUGGGGGGAACCCUGACCGAGCAACGCCGCGUGAGUGGAGAAGGUUUUCGGAUCGUAAAGCUCUGUUGUUAAGGAAGCGGUACUUAACCAGAAAGGGACGGCUAACUACGUGCCAGCAGCCGCGGUAAUUC
rnacentral:rRNA from 1 species